rnacentral:rRNA from 1 species
GACGAACGCUGGCGGCGUGCCUAAUACAUGCAAGUAGAACGCACAGUUUAUACCGUAGCUUGCUACACCAUAAACUGUGAGUUGCGAACGGGUGAGUAACGCGUAGGUAACCUGCCUGGUAGCGGGGGAUAACUAUUGGAAACGAUAGCUAAUACCGCAUAAUAUUGAUUAUUGCAUGAUAAUUGAUUGAAAGAUGCUAUUGCAUCACUACCAGAUGGACCUGCGUUGUAUUAGCUAGUAGGUGAGGUAACGGCUCACCUAGGCGACGAUACAUAGCCGACCUGAGAGGGUGAUCGGCCACACUGGGACUGAGACACGGCCCAGACUCCUACGGGAGGCAGCAGUAGGGAAUCUUCGGCAAUGGACGAAAGUCUGACCGAGCAACGCCGCGUGAGUGAAGAAGGUUUUCGGAUCGUAAAGCUCUGUUGUAAGAGAAGAACGGGUGUGAGAGUGGAAAGUUCACACUGUGACGGUAUCUCACCAGAAAGGGACGGCUAACUACGUG